UACACAAAGCACAUGAUGACAAAACAUUGAAACUGACUGUAUGAAGUACAUUCAAUCCAACACUGAGCUUUGUGUC
ensembl:snoRNA